UACGGAGGGUGCAAGCGUUAUCCGGAUUCACUGGGUUAAAGGCGCGUAGGCGGCCUGAUCAGUCGGGGGUGAAAGCCUGUGGCUCAACCACAGAAUGGCCUUCGAUACUGUCGGGCUUGAGACCGGAAGAGGUAAGUGGAACUGCGAGUGUAGAGGUGAAAUUCGUAGAUAUCCGCAAGAACACCAGUGGCAGAAGGCGCUUGACUGGUCC
rnacentral:rRNA from 1 species